GCUCACCCGACGACUGACGUGACGGCAGCCCGCAACCCCGCGCCACGGACCGACUCGCUCCGCGACUCGAAUAUCUCGCACAAAAAAUACGCCGUCAUCAUCGAAAUGGCGGCAGCGGAUAUAUUCAGCGCAGGGUGCACGAUUUACCUGAAUUCUUAUGGUACGUAGGUACACUCCACCUACAUAAGAUCGAACUCUCUUCAAAGAGAAGAACACUCUAGAUCACAUAGGACAGCUACCUAUAUACUUUACAUGCUAAAUUUCAAAAGAAAAGGAAUAAAACCUUGUCACAAUAAGUAAUUCCCAACUAGUGAAGUAUGGUUUUAAGAAUUAAGUUAUAAUUCUAACCGAUACUCGUGUUGGAAUUGGAAAUCAUCAUUAGGAAACUUGCAUAUCGAAGUAAGUGGAUGUGUAACUAUGACCUAUAUGGUUGCCUGGAAGAAAUCCUAAUUGAAAUGAGUCCGCCAUUGUACAUAUACUUCUUAAUCUAAUAACUAUUUUGUAAUUUGUUAUAUGUAUUUUUAUGUGUAAUGAAGAGUUUACAAACAAAGAAACCUUUAGGGUUUGGUUCCCCUGCAAAGAUUGUAGAGGUCAGACAAGGAUCGCUGUCUGAUCCAAUUCACGAGUUGAUGAUGAAGUAGGAGAUAAACUUGAAGAACCAAUAAACGAAAACUCUAACCAUAAACAAACGGGAAUGAUGCCUAAAUGAAAUUGUUUUGGUAAAGGCGUCGUAUUGCGUGUAAUUUUCUCAUGCACACGGAUGGACGCCGAGUCAUCGCUGCAGUGUGUUAUUGCCAGACGUGAGAUAUCUAAGGCCGUUGCACACGUUGGGCCAGGUGCUGACUAGGUAUACUGCCUUUGCAUAAUGUCAAUGAUUGUCUCAAAGACCCAAAGUGUGCAUUUUAUAGUGGUGUGAUCAUAACGGGAAUAUGCUCUGAUCUAUUUUAUCUAUCCCAUAGUCGAGGCUGUGGAAUCUUUGAAGUACAAGGCUACUGCGUAGGGCAGAACUGUUGUUGACACCUUUUAAAGUAUAUACACGUAGUAUAUAGCUACUUACUAGAAUCUUAUAAAAUCCUAAAUGCAUUAGUCUUGUGCGCCAGCUGCCAACAUAAAACUCAUAGCCCUCGCUGGCCGAACCUUAGCCAGCGGUUUGACCAAUGUGUAUGCAGCGUUAACAGUAA